ACGACUAGAACGAUACAGAGAAGAUUAGCAUGGCCCCUGCGCAAGGAUGACACGCAAAAUCGUGAAGCGUUCCAUAUUUGG
rnacentral:snRNA from 1 species